GAGAAGAGCAGAGGAGAAAAGAGAAGGAGAAGAACUCGAGGAUAAGAGACCUGCAUUGUGAAAAAGAGGAGGAGAAGAGGAAAGAGAAGCCAAGAAGAAGCACAGAGAUGUGACCACCUGCACUGUGAAAAAGAGUGGAAGACAUGACAACGACAAGACAGAGAAAGAACAAGAAGGAGCCAGUGAGGAAGUGUUCUUGAUGAACUCUAUGAGGGGAGAAGAGAAAAGUAAGAAAGACAAACAACAACAGAAGAAGUUUCUUCCCCUUCAACAGUGACUUGCCGUGACCCAGAUUCAAACCGAGAGGUGAGGACAUAACAACGAGACACGAGACAGAACAAGAACAAGAAGGAGCCAGUGAGGAAGUGAUCUUGAUGAACUCUAUGGGGAGACAAAUCGAGACCAAAGAAGUUUUUUCCCCUUCAGCAGUACUUACCAUGACCUGGAUUCAAACAGGGGUUACAGCGGCCACAACACAGAGUACUCACAGCUGUUUGUUCUUUUAAAAAGAGGCAUGAGACAUGACAACGACACAAGACAGAAGAUGAGGGGAAAAGAGAAAAGUAAGAAAGAAGAAGAACAACAGAAGAAGUUUCUUUUCCUUUUUCAACUUGCCGUGACCCAGAUUCAAACCGGGGUCACUGCCGCCACAACACAGAGGACUCACUGUUUGAUGGACCUGCUGAGCUCCACAACCUUCUCAUUAAAAAUGCGGCGUGAGACAUGACAAGGAAUCAAGACAGCAGGAAGGAGCCAGUGAGGAAGUGUUCUUGAUGAACUCUAUGUCUUCUGUUUCAAAGAGGAGAGAAAUGAAUACAGAAGAAGUGUCUUCCACUUCUGAUAUCAACCUCAAUAUUUAGGAGAGGAAGAGACAAAGAACCCAAACCAAAGACGUGAGGAGGAGAGAAGAAAUAAAACAACAAAGAAGAAGAAGCCAAGAACAUGUGACCACUUACCCUGUGAAAAAUAGAUGGAAAAAAGGCCAAAAUGUGAGAAAGAAACCAGACAGAAUCAGUAGGAGUCAGUGAGGAAGUGUUCUGGAUGAACUCUAUGGGAACAGAAAUGAAGACAGAAGAAGUUUCUUCCCCUCCAACAGUGACUUGCUGUGACCCAGAUUCAAACCGAGGUUACUGCCGCCACAACACAGAGUACUCACUGUUUGAUGGACCUGCUGAGCUCCAAAACCUUCUCAUUAAAAAUGGAAAAAGGUGAGGCCAGAACAACGAAUCAAGACAGAAAAAGAACAAGAAGGAGCCAGUGAGGAAGUGUUCUUGAUGAACUCUGUGGGGACAGAAAUCAAGACAGAAGAAGUUUCUUCCCCUUCGACAGCACUUGCUGUGACCUGGAUUUGAACCUGGGUGGCUGCAGACACAACACAGAGUAGUCACGGCUGUUUGAUGGACCUACAGAGCUGGUGUCACUGGUUAACGUCUGGAUAUCAACUUCACAGCAGAGCGAGGAAGAGAGAACACAAGACCAAGAGAGUUAGAAACAAUGACGUGAAGAGGAGAGAAGAAGAAGAAGCAUUGGACUGUGAAAAAUAAGAGAGGCUGUGAUAAUGAAAGAAACAAGACAGAGAAGUAACAGGAAGGAGCCAGUGAGGAAGUAUUCUGGAUGAACUCUGAGGAAAUUUCAAAGAGAAGAAGAAAUCAUCCAAAAAGAAAGACAGAUGAAGACUCUUCCCAGCAGUACUUUAUUUGAACCAGGGUUACUGUGACCACAGCGCAGAGUACUGACCUCUAUAUGAUCACGACUGAUUGAUACCUUGGCUGUGAAAUCAAGAAGAGACAAUUAUAACGGAGAAACAACAGUAUGAUGACAGAAGAAGAAAGAGCCAAAGAGAUGACGUGACCACCUGCACUGUGAAGUAAACACACAAUUUGUUUUACACUCUGAUCAAUAUUUGUUUUUAUGUGAUCAGCGAAUUCAUUCCUCUUCUCCUGUUUUGUCCUGUUGCAACUGAAGAGAAGCAAAGAUGUGUCCAGGAAACAAGAGAGACAUAAGAAAGAAUAAGAACUUAAUAAAAUAACCUAAAGACAUAACAAAAGAAAAAGUCUGGUCAUAGUUACUGACUGAAUUAAUUUUAUGUUUACUUUACUUUAUGUAAACUUCAGAUUUUCAUGAUAUAAUUCUUGGAAGAUAAGGUUUAAUGAUUUCUGCAGAUUAUAAUAUGAGUAUAUUUUUGAUAACUCGAUCACGGUUUAAUUGAUUAGGUCAUUUUUGCAUAA